rnacentral:lncRNA from 1 species
CUGGCUGCCCCCGGGGAGCUCGUGACAGCCGGAGGGAGAGACGCGCCCGCAGCCAGCGCACUGGCCCUUGAUUGGCUGGGGCGCGGCGGAGCGCGGCUCCGAUUGGCUGGGCCGUCUGCCGCGCCGCGCGUGGCCUCCCACCGAGGAACCGGACUGCCGCGGGAGGCGCGCGCCAGGCACGGGAGCGGUGGCAGCCAAGCUGGCGGAGCGGCUUCCCCGCUCCCGCUCGCACCCGCGGCUCGCCCGCGUCCGUGCCCACUCGCGGCGGGGCCGGGCCCGCGCGUCGCUGUCGCUGACCCCGCCGCCCGCGCCGUCCCUGCCCCACCCGCCGCUGCCUGGCCUGCCGCCGGGCCUGAGCCCGGGGCCGCCGCCGCUCUCGGCGCUCGCCCUGGCCGAGCUGCCGCCGCUGCCCGCGCUCCCACUGCGGCCCGAACCUCUGGCGCCCUGGGGCCCCGGCGCCCACCUGGCGCUGCCGGAGCUGCCACCCGAGGCCUGUGCACCCGCGCCGCCCGCCGCCGCGCUCGCCCUGCAGCACCUGCCGCGCCUGCCCGCGCCCGCGCCGCCGCCCGCGCACCUGCCGCUGCCGCCGCUGCCGGAGGCCGCCGUAGCCGCCACGCCCGGGCCCGUGGGCGCGCGCGGCCGCCCACCCCUGGUCGCCGAGCCGCCCCCGCUGCCGCUGCCGCCGCUGCCUGCACGGCCCUCGUCCUUCAGCCUGCUGGCGCUGCCCGCGCCCCGCGACCCCUGGCCGCUGCCCGUCUUCCCCCCGCCCCUGCCGCCGCCGCCACCGCCGCCUUACUUCUUCCUGUCGCCACCCUGCUGACCGCCCGGCCCUCCCAGAGGCCGCCGACGCGGAGGGGCUGCGGGCCGGUGAGUAGGCAGCUUUGCCCAGACACCCGGGCUGUGCCCCUUGGCGCCUUCCCCGCGGGCGGAUUCAGAAGGCGUGGGGCACGGGGAAGAGGGAAAGGUGUCGGGGAGCAGCCCAGGUUUGGGGGAGGAAGGAGCAAGUCUGAAAAUACACUCACUUUAAGAUUAGGGUCUUUAUUCUAUUUUCCCAGCUAUCCUACAGAAGGUCUCCUGCCUGGUUAUUUGAGAAUGUAA